rnacentral:snRNA from 1 species
GGAUGUGAGGGUGAUCUGACUGCAACAUCUGUCACCCCAUUGAUCGCCAGGGUCAGUUUGGCUGAUCUGGCUAGGAGGUGUCCCCUUCCUCCCUCACCGCUCCAUGUUUGUCCCUUCUGAAGCUGCACAGUGGGUGGAAGAGGACCGGGGCUGUUCUUGGGUCAAGGGUAUACAAGUAGCUGCACUCCCCUGCUGGAACCUCCAAGCAAGCUCUCAAAUGUCCCACUGAACAUUCAUGUAGGUAAACAAACUGGUUAUAAUAAUCUGAUCCUUGCACCUGUGUCUUAUUUAUAAAAAAUUUUGCAGGAUUGCAACAUGU